UUCACUGUUGUGUUUCUGAGGUUUAUCGCUGUUGAUACAAGAUCAAUUUCAUUAUUAUCUAUUCAUUCUUUUUCUGAUGGGUGCUAAGAUUGUGUCCCAUUUUUUACUGUUAGAAAUCACGCUACAACAUUAUUUACAAUGUAUGUUCUGUAGCCAUGUCCUUAAACACAGGUGUUCCACUCUCUGCGAUCAUCGCGGCCCUCAGACCUGCUCCUCGCCUGGACUAGGCUCUGCUCUCGGGUCACCCUUCCCCAGCAUGCAACUUGACUCUUGAAGACCAAGUUGCACUUGAAGACCACGUCUUACACCAGAAUUCUCCCUGGAUCAUCCUUGUCAGGGAUUCCUACCUUACCUUGCCACCCACACCUGGCCCCUCCUAAAAGGAAUGUUCUUUGGCAGGAACGAAGAGCAUGUGCUCGGUCGUAGGCUCAUAAAACCCAGCAGCAAAUCUGAACUUCCAGCUCCAUGGCUUGGAGGAAGAAGCCUAGGAAUAGUUAUCGACUCCUUCCCCUGUCCUUGGCUUGACCUCCCUCCCUCCCUCUUCUCACCACACCAGUUAGAAAUCAUGAAGACAAUCUGUUCCCAAGAGCAAGGGUGAAGGGCGGAAGGCUGGCUGGGCUGAUGGGACCAACGCUUGUCAGAAAUGAACAGGCCCAUGCGACAGUGAAGACAAUGCAGAGGGAAAGAGCUUUUGGCUUCAUGCUUUGACAAAGUGCCCUGAGACUGUAUGUGCAUGUGUGUAUUUCUGUUCGGUAAAUCCUGGAAGGCCAGUGCAGUGGGAGAAUCCAUAUGUUUUCAGCCUCCAAAAUGUGCCAGGUAGUUAUAGUUGACAGUGGAGUAUGUGAGAAACUAUAUGGCACUGGCCUCAUUCUUCAUGCUGCCACUCUGGCCUUUGACUUUGGAGUGGGGAAUUCCUUAAAUUCACACAUUCCUGACCCCCUUUGUGGGUGACCCAGGCCCUGGCAUACACUGUGCAAUUAACAAAUGUCAGCUGAAUGAGUAGAAUGAAUAAACAAAAAAGAGUCAUUGUGUAA